AACGCGUAUGCAAUCUACCUUUUACAGAGGGAUAGCCCAGAGAAAUUUGGAUUAAUACCUCAUAGCAUUGCAGGAUGGCAUCAUCCAGCAAUUAAAGUCACAACGGUAAAAGAUGAGCAUGCGUCCCAUUAGCUAGUUGGUAAGGUAACGGCUUACCAAGGCUACGAUGGGUAGGGGUCCUGAGAGGGAGAUCCCCCACACUGGUACUGAGACACGGACCAGACUCCUACGGGAGGCAGCAGUGAGGAAUAUUGGACAAUGGGCGCAAGCCUGAUCCAGCCAUGCCGCGUGCAGGAUGACGGUCCUAUGGAUUGUAAACUGUUUUAUCGAGAAGAAACACUACUUCGUGAAGUAGCUUGACGGUAUCGUAAGAAUAAGGAUCGGCUAACUCCGUGCCAGCAGCCGCGGUAAUACGGAGGAUCCAAGCGUUAUCCGGAAUCAUUGGGUUUAAAGGGUCCGUAGGCGGUUUAAUAAGUCAGUGGUGAAAGCCCAUCGCUCAACGGUGGAACGGCCAUUGAUACUGUUAAACUUGAAUUAUUAGGAAGUAACUAGAAUAUGUAGUGUAGCGGUGAAAUGCUUAGAGAUUACAUGGAAUACCAAUUGCGAAGGCAGGUUACUACUAAUGGAUUGACGCUGAUGGACGAAAGCGUGGGUAGCGAACAGGAUUAGAUACCCUGGUAGUCCACGCCGUAAACGAUGGAUACUAGCUGUUGG
rnacentral:rRNA from 1 species